GCCAUCGGGCAUAUUUGGAAUUGCGCAGCAGUGGCGAAGCGAAAUAUACAAAUUGAACUAGAGCCAU
rnacentral:ribozyme from 1 species